rnacentral:rRNA from 1 species
CGUGUAGGCGGCCAGAUAGGUCUGCUGUGAAAACUCGAGGCUCAACCUCGAGCUGUCGGCGGAAACCAUUCGGCUAGAGUCCGGAAGAGGAGAGUGGAAUUCCUGGUGUAGCGGUGAAAUGCGCAGAUAUCAGGAAGAACACCUAUGGCGAAGGCAGCUCUCUGGGACGGUACUGACGCUGAGACGCGAAAGCGUGGGGAGCGAACA